AUUGAACGCUGGCGGCAGGCCUAACACAUGCAAGUCGAACGGAUGAAGGCAGCUUGCUCCUGGAUUCAGCGGCGGACGGGUGAGUAAUGCCUAGGAAUCUGCCUGGUAGUGGGGGAUAACGUCGGGAAACGGGCGCUAAUACCGCAUACGUCCUGGGGGAGAGAGUGGGGGAUCUUCGGACCUCACGCUAUCAGAUGAGCCUAGGUCGCAUUAGCUAGUUGGUGGGGUAAAGGCCUACCAAGGCGACGAUCCGUAACUGGUCUGAGAGGAUGAGAAGUCACACUGGAACUGAGCCACGGUCCAGACUCCUACGGGAGGCAGCAGUGGGGAAUAUUGGACAAUGGGCGAAAGCCUGAUCCAGCCAUGCCGCGUGUGUGAAGAAGGUCUUCGGAUUGUAAAGAGCUUUUGGUUGGGAGGAAGGGUAGUAAGUUAAUACCGUGCUGUUUUGACGUUACCAGCAGAAUAAGCACCGGCUAACUUCGUG
rnacentral:rRNA from 1 species